GGAUCUGCUUGCAGCAAAGUUCCUGCUUUGUGCUGUAGUUGGGUUGAGUAUUUGGUAUUCAGCCCAAGCAAGCUUGGAGGUGGAAGAAGCCAGUUUGUCUAUGGAAGCCGUGCUAUCAGAGUUGCUCAGGAGACUUGGCUGCAGACUCUUACUCCAGCAAAGAAGCUGUCAAUGAGAUUCUCCCUAUCCCAAAGACAGAGCUCAGAGUAGCCUAAGAAAAAUGAAGAUGUCAUGAUUACGGAGGAAAAGUUUGGGUUGGACAUUAAGAGUCCUGUUCGCAAGCAGAAUUUCUGUGGCCUUCACAUUGUCAAGGAUGAUGACCCAGCUGCAGUGGGAGAUACUCACUGAUGUCCCGAUAAUCUCCACAACAGCAGUACCGUGCUUUUUUCUUCAAAAAAUACAAAUGCUGGCACUGGUGGAUUGAGUCACCUCGAUGUUGUGGUGCUCAAAGAAAACCCGGCAAUGACCUCGCACUCCAUCUAACCUCACCUCCAUUCAGCGGGCAGAGGCUCCCCUCGGCUCCGUGUAAGAUACAAUCACAUUUUGUUUCUUCAUUUGCCAGGUUGUUGCUGGUUUAAAGACAUGACUCCAUUAGGCCACUCUGGAUAUAGCACGGCAUCUCCCAGCUUGGGCGGCUGCUUGGGCUUGGGUGAUUGCUUUGAUCAUGAGAGCCACGACAAGUCCAUGCAGGGUAACCGUGCUCUGUGCUCACUCUGUGUCGAGCCGGCCCAUAUGACUUGUAUGAGUAUAUGUUGUCAUAGGCUCCUAGAUUAAUGUGCUGCAGUGCUGUAUGAAAGAACUCCACUUCCUGCUGAAUAAGGCUUAGAGGUAUCUUAACACAGUUACAUAGCAUGUUUAAAGGGAAAGAUCAAAAAAGAGCUGUUCCAAAUACCUUGAGAGCAGGAUAGCAGAUACAAUCAUGUACUUUUCUCUUUUAACUGAUAAGGCAAGAUGGAAAACAGCCCGUACAUCUGCAUGGCAAGUCUCGGGAACUACCUAUUCACCAGCCAAUGGUUGUAAGAAAAAAGACGUUUUUUCUAACAAACAUCUGUUCCUAAAAAUAAAUAAAUAAAUAAAUAAAUAAAAUAAAAAAAAUCAACCCUGUUAUUCCUACCUCUUUUUACCCAGAACAAGCACAACAAAAACUGAAGGCAUCACAGCCACAAGAAUGUCCUCAUUGUUUUGUGCACAUCACUGUGUUUCUAUAAAUACCAGCCCAGCUGCUAUUGAAAUAAUCUUCAAGUUUUUUAGACUAUUCUGUUCUACUCAUGUGUCCAUAUUAAAUGGGUUGUUUUCAUAAGGCCAGAAUACCUCUUUCCAAUGAACUGAAUUUAGCAUUCAGCAAAUGCUGCUCAACCAUCCCUCAGACCAUUACGUUUGUAAGUUAUUUUGGGGGUUUGGCAAAGCCAUUAGCAUCAGCUUCAGAACAGCCCUUCAAAAUGUGUGCUCAGCUAAAUUCACUUAAUAUAAAAAAAUAUUUAAAAGUCCAACCAAGUCGCCCACCUUCCUUUUUGCUUCCCAAUCUAUGGGAUUGUUUUCAACUAAAAUACCACGUGGGCGUAUAUAUUCUACUCCCUUGUCCAAAUGGAUGUGAAUAUGGAUUAUUAUGAUUAGUUUGCAUGCAUCUACACUCUCCUGAAGAACAUUUAGGGAAAGGGAAUGUAUACCUUAUAUUUCACAUAGAAGCUUCUGUAUGUUUAAAGAAUUAGAAGUAUCCUCUGGUGUUUAGGAACCUAGGGACAUUAGAUUGGAGAUUAACUGAGUCAGAAAGGCUGUAAUCCCCUGCAGUUGGAAAUGGUCUAGUAAUCUACAGUUAGUCAUGUAGGAUCAGA